rnacentral:sRNA from 1 species
GCAAGGCAUGGUGGUGCGUGCCUAUAGUCCCAGCUACUGGGAGGCUGAGGCAGGAGAAUCGCUUGAACCUGGGAGGCAGGGGUUGCAGUGAGCCGAGAUCGCGCCACUGCACUCCAGCCUGGGUGACAGAGCGAUACUCUGUCUCAA